rnacentral:sRNA from 1 species
UUAGAAGGAACGUCAACUAAGAUCCGCAACGUCCUGUUGCGAACGUUGACGUUAGCACAUCCUGUGCA